CAGGACCUCAAACCAGCUGCUGCCGUGGUAACAUCAGGCCAGAAGUGUGCUGGAGAUGAUCACACCAGGACAACGACGGUUCGGCCUAAUGUAUAUAAAUCUACGAUGUGCAUCAGCAGCUUCAGUGAAGAUCACUCAGAAUGGUUGGACGACCUCCCCAAGGUGGAAGGGUAUGGCUCUUCACUCAACAACAAGAGCUUGCUAUCGUGAAAUGGGUCAACAUCUCUACAAGUUGCAUCCUACAGAAACAUAACUUCAGAAUGAAGCAGCUGUACAGGGUGCCAUUUGAGAGGAACAGUGUCAUGAUCAAGUACAUGUGC